ACUGUAAAAAAAAAUCAAAUAUAUUAUUUUAAUAUAUUUUAUGAACAUAAUUAUUAUAUAUAUAAUAUAUAACAAAAUGGCCUGCAUCAGAACAUUACCAAGGAUGAAAACAAAAGUUAAGAAAAAAAGUUACUAGAAGAAAGUUGUUUGUGAUGUAAAAAAAUAUAUAUAUAUACAAAUUAUAGCAGCAUCUGCCUUGAUUUGGAUAUUCAACAAUUUAAGAAGACUGCAAAAUAUAUGUAUAUUUAGUUUCAUCUCACACCAUAUCCUGUACAAUUUUAACUGACUAUAAACAAAAGGCUUCUUACUUAAUUGUUGCUUAAUUUAAGUGGGCUGCAAUUUGAAAGCUCACCACUAGAGGUCCCUGUAGUACACAUACAAUACAAUUUGUAUAAUACUGCUUCUUUUCUCAACGCAUUUCAAAAGUGGGCUUUUUUUUUACAUCACGUCUGACUCCAACUGCUGCAUAUUAUAAAAGGAGUUCAUUCAUAGAAGGAAAAUGUCAAAAAAUAAGGAAUGUGUUGCAUAAAAGGAAGGUUUAUGGCAGCUUUAUGGAUGUUUUUUACAUUCCGCAUGUGAUAUUCAUUUUUCUUGAAUUUGCGGUACAUUUUCAUACGCAUCCCUGCAAAUACAUCAACAGCCUAUUGUUGCAGCGACCAUAUGUCCUCACUGGCGAGGUUUUCAAGGGAAUUACAGAUGACAUGUUUUCUAUCUACAGAGCCACAACACUUAUAUGCUUGGGACAGUUUUAAAAACAUAGCUGCUCAUGUUUCAGCUGUAAUCUAACAAGACAAAAUGUAGAGGUUAGCACGUCACAUGGUUUAUUCUGUUAGCUAAAUCAUAAUGGCAUCAUCUGUUAUUGAAGAACAUGCAUAAACUUCUUUACUUUUUAGUCUCAGUUUUGCAAUUGAUAAACUCCUUUUUUCCAGCAUUAACAUUUAAAAACAGGCUACAUCCCUCACAUUUACUCAGUGUCACUCCCUUUUUGUUGUUCUUUGUUGUAUGUAGCAGCUGUGUCCUUGCUUUAGGGUCCGUAGAAAUACUUGGGAAAAUUGUAACGACAAGAGACAAAAGUAUGGAAAAGCAGUUUUUGGUUGUCUUGCCGUAACAUCCUCUGGUACCGUCCACAAGACUGCAGCUUCUGAGUCUUAUUUGAAGUACCCUCUAAUGUGCUCCACUGUCAAGUCACAGGGUUACCUCUUACUGGAGGAACGAACCUGAUGUCUCGACCAGUUAGUUGGCGCUAAAGAGAAGAAAAGAGAGCUGCCGUGGGGUACACCAGUGUAGGCAGCACUGGAGGCAAGCGGGUGAAGUGUCCUGCCCAGGGCAAGUCCACAGUGACUUGGUGGAGGGAGCGAGGAUCGAACCGCCAACCUUUGGGUUUCUGGAUGACCUGCUCUACCAAAUAUACAUUUUAUGGGCGCCUCAAAUGCUCACAUUUUAUGGAACAUACUACUUCUACAACGGUACUUAAUGCAGUGUGCAUGCAAAUAUGAUGACAAUGCAUGUAUAUCUUCAAACCUACUUUGAUCAUGAACCAGCCACAUGGGAAAAAUAAGCAGUACAGCAUAAGCAUCACAGUGGAUUAUGUGGCCAGUUAAGUUUCCAGUUAAGUACUGUGAGCACUGAUCUCCACCAAAGAGGGGAAAUUGCUAUCAAUAUUGCAUAUUUGCAGCUACUGCCUGCAUACUCUCAAUGUACAAAGUGUACCUAAUGUCUGUAAGUCUGUUAAGGUUUUUUUUUUAAGGUGUAUCAGGUGAAGAUACGAGACAUAAAUCAUCUCAAGGAAGGUAUCACCAGCGCCAUUCCAAGCAUAACUUCAACUGUGCUGAUGCAAGCUCAUCAACAGUGGAGCAUAUGGAGGACAUUACAUACGCAUUCGGGACACCCUGUAGUAUGACUGUACAGUCACAAGAUGGAGGCAAACAAUCACAAAAAGACAUCAGACACAUACAACAGGGUGUCUUCAUGGAACUUGAAGAGCGCACUGAUGUCACUUCCUCCCUGAGUACCAGUGGGUACCAGUGGCCCGUUGGAGGAAGCAGCAAACUUCAUGUCAGCCUUCAUGGUGGCGUCCAGCGGCGUCUCCGAGUCAUCGGGAAACGGAGCGAGGCGGUUGGACAGAAGGCCGUGCCUCAGAGUGUGAGUCAGCUUGAGUCGUCUGAAGCGAUUUGACAUCCUACUCCACCAAGACUGGAGACAAAGACACACUCCGACAUGUUAUGCUGCAUGGCGAGUUCAAAUGCAGUCUUGGACAAGACGUUGACUCGGUCUGGGUCGGCGCCGCGCUCCACCAGCUGCUGAGCAACAGCCACCUUGCAGAACACAACUUUAUUUGCCAUCUUCAACACAAGCACGCCAGCAUCACCUUCAGCCUACCUUCCCGCUGAGAGUAGCCACCAUAAGGGGACCCCAGCCGGUGGUCUUCUGUGCAAAACUGACGUCGGAGCCCCACUCUAGCAGCAGACGCACUGAGGCCUCGUGGCCGUGCUGAGCCGCCACCAUCAGAGCCGUGAUGUCCAUGAAAUCCCGCACACCACUACCUGCGCAGCCUUCACCGGCUCCGAAACCCACCGCGCUGUGGAAUAAAUGCACAAACACCCACAAACAUUCAACAUGUCCUUUUGUCCAACCACGAGAAAGAGCACCGAAUGCCCGAACCUGCAGCUGUUAUUGUUAUUCCUGUUGGAGACGACCUCGGCGGCGGCGGCCAGAUGAUCGUAGUCGUCCACGUAGGCGCCGCUCUCCAGGAGAAGCUUCGCUACAUGCGUGUGUCCCCCGCGCGCAGCCAGUGUCAGGACACUCGCA